rnacentral:tRNA from 1 species
GGGAAUGUGGCUUAGUGGUAGAGUGCUUGCCUCGCAUGCAUGAAAUCCUGGGUUUGAUUCCUCAGUACUA